AGUGUGUGUGUACAUUCAUACGGAAUUUUGUUAGUGAAUAGGUCGCGAUCUUAAAGCAACGAAAAUAUUUUGGCAAAUUAAAUUUAAAUGUUGAAGUGAA